UAGCGGAGCGUGUGGUUUAAUUCGAUGCGACGCGAAGGACCUUACCAAGAUUUGACAUGCUAAAAGUAGAAGCUUGAAAGAGGGACGACCUGUAUCCAGUCAGGAGUUAGCACAGGUGCUGCAUGGCUGUCGUCAGCCCGUGCCGUGAGGUGUUAGGUUAAGUCCUGCAACGAGCGCAACCCUCGUCGCUAGUUAAUUUCUCUAGCGAUACUGCCCGUAUAACGCGGAGGAAGGUGGGGAUGACGUCAAGUCAGCACGGCCCUUACAUCUUGGGCGACACACACGCUACAAUGGGUGAUACAGCGGGUUGCCAAGGAGCGAUCCGGAGCUAAUCCCUAAAAUCAUCCUCAGUUCAGAUUGUAGGCUGCAACCGCCUAUAUGAAGUCGGAGUUGCUAGUAACCGCAUAA
rnacentral:rRNA from 1 species